UUAAUGAGAGUUUGAUCCUGGCUCAGGACGAACGCUGGCGGCGUGCCUAAUACAUGCAAGUAGAACGCUGAGGACUGGUGCUUGCACCGGUCCAAGGAGUUGCGAACGGGUGAGUAACGCGUAGGUAACCUACCUCAUAGCGGGGGAUAACUAUUGGAAACGAUAGCUAAUACCGCAUAAAAGUGUUUAACCCAUGUUAAACAUUUAAAAGGUGCAACUGCAUCACUAUGAGAUGGACCUGCGUUGUAUUAGCUAGUUGGUGAGGUAACGGCUCACCAAGGCGACGAUACAUAGCCGACCUGAGAGGGUGAUCGGCCACACUGGGACUGAGACACGGCCCAGACUCCUACGGGAGGCAGCAGUAGGGAAUCUUCGGCAAUGGACGGAAGUCUGACCGAGCAACGCCGCGUGAGUGAAGAAGGUUUUCGGAUCGUAAAGCUCUGUUGUUAGAGAAGAAUGAUGGUGGGAGUGGAAAAUCCACCAUGUGACGGUAACUAACCAGAAAGGGACGGCUAACUACGUGCCAGC
rnacentral:rRNA from 1 species